GCAGAGAAAAGGUGAUUGGCAUAAAUGCCUUCAUGAGCCUCUGUGAGUUUAAGAAAGUAUAACAUGUGUGUGAGAUUGUAGUGGCUCUGAGAUGCUGGGGAAUUUCUCUUUAAAAAGUGCCCCAAUAGCCCUAGUGGACCAGCCUCUACUGUUAAUAUGAAUGCUGUGAAUUCAAAGGAAAUGCAAUGAACAGGGUCCAAUAAUGCAAUGGCUGAAGAACAAAGGACUUUGCGAGUAGCUGGGUGGAUGUCGUGGAUUUUAAUUGUAACUCUGAUGGUAUGGAGUGAUCGUGGCAGUGGACAAGGUCAAGCAAAUGAAUGACUUCAGCUGAGGAAAGCAGAACUCUUCCAUGAAAAAUGUUGCCAUUAAAAGGAGGAGAGCAAACUGCAUAAAUUACAAAUGAACUGCUGCAGUAGCAGCAAUAUACAAGCAUGUUACCUGAUUAUACAUGCAUGUUUUCUUUGCCAUUAAUCCAAAAAAUAGCAUGGCAAUGUGUGAACCUCGUUGCAAUCCAGAUUUCUUUGUAAAGAAACACCAAUUUUAAAUUAGCUAUGAAUUUAUGGGCUUUACAUAAUGAUGAAAAGUUAUAAUGCUAAUUUAAUAGACACAUUUAUUUGGUCCUUUGCUUUCGACAUGCCUAACACUGGCCUUUAAUACUAAUAGAAUGCAAAUAUGCCAAUCUGAUGCAGGCAAAACUUCUCAAGUGGUAGGUGAAUGUUUGUUUCUUUUUUCACUGCCACAAAUUUUCACAUAAAUGCCUCUUUGCACUUAUCCAGAAUCACCAGAACACAAUGGAAUUUGUUUUUUGAAGUUUACUCUUUAAAAUUACUACAGGGGAUAAAGGAAAACAGCAGUAGCAAGCUACUUGUAUUUUCUAAAAGGUCUCUCCACUGGAAAAGAUCUUCAGAUCAGAGAUUGGAGUUGGGUUCCAUCAAAAUGUGGAUGACCCCAGCUCUAUCUCCAUUUCACAUUGGGCAUAGAUGUCUCGGUGGAUACACUAAACAGGUGCUUCAGAUCAAUAAGAGCAGAAUGAGGGCUAAUAAACUGAAGCUCAAUAGGACAGAAGGGCUUUUAGUCAAUGGUCUAUCAAUCCAGGGCACUGGUAUUCUAGAUGGGGUUGCCUUCCAGAUUGGGGGUACAGCAUUGCUUCUAAUGCCCAGGUGGCAACAUUAGGUUGCAGUGCCUUCUGCCAGCUGUUGCUGACGCACUGGCUGCAUUCCUUUUCAGAGAGAAAUGAUUUGUUCAUAGUUAUCUAUCCAUGCUCUAGUAACUUUGAGCCUUUAUUACUGUAAUUUUAUUUAUUGUAUUUUAG